UAGUUUUCUGGUCAGGAGUGGCAUC
rnacentral:piRNA from 1 species